rnacentral:misc_RNA from 1 species
GGAAGAAGCGCGAAGAGCCGUUAGUCAUGCCGGUGUGGUGGCGGCGGCGGAGACUGCGGGCCCGUAGCUGGGCUCUGCGAGCAUAUAGGUUGCUGUAGAUGAAUGUUCUUAGCUGUCAUGUUUAAAAAUACUUCUGCUUCGUUACCUCAAGUGUGGCAUGCAGCAUUUUGGAAGGAAAAUUGAAGACGUGUUCAAGAAAACAUGAACAGAAGCAAAUGAUGAAAAUGAGCAUUUUAC